AGAGUUUGAUCCUGGCUCAGAACGAACGCUGGCGGCGCGCCUAAUACAUGCAAGUCGAGCGAGAAGGUGUAGCAAUACACUUGUAAAGCGGCGAACGGGUGAGGAAUGCAUGGGUAACCUACCCUCGAGUGGGGAAUAACUAGCCGAAAGGUUAGCUAAUACCGCAUACGUUUCCGGAACUUCGGUUACGGAAAGAAAGCAAUACCGUGGGUAUUGCGCUCAUGGAUGGGCUCAUGUCCUAUCAGCUUGUUGGUGAGGUAACGGCUCACCAAGGCUUCGACGGGUAGCUGGUCUGAGAGGACGAUCAGCCACACUGGCACUGCGACACGGGCCAGACUCCUACGGGAGGCAGCAGUAAGGAAUAUUGCGCAAUGGACGAAAGUCUGACGCAGCGACGCCGCGUGGGGGAUGAAGGUCUUCGGAUUGUAAACCCCUUUCGGGAGGGAAGAUGGAGUGGGUAACCACUUGGACGGUACCUCCAGAAGCAGCCACGGCUAACUUCGUGCCAGCAGCCGCGGUAAUACGAAGGUGGCAAGCGUUGUUCGGAUUCACUGGGCGUACAGGGAGCGUAGGCGGUUGGGUAAGCCCUCCGUGAAAUCUCCGGGCCUAACCCGGAAAGUGCAGAGGGGACUGCUCAGCUAGAGGAUGGGAGAGGAGCGCGGAAUUCCCGGUGUAGCGGUGAAAUGCGUAGAGAUCGGGAGGAAGGCCGGUGGCGAAAGGCGGCGCUCUGGAACAUUUCUGACGCUGAGGCUCGAAAGCGUGGGGAGCAACAGGAUUAGAUACCCUGGUAGUCCACGCCCUUAAACUAUGGAUACUAAGUGUCGGGCGGUUUACCGCCGGUGCCGCAGCUAACGCAAUAAGUAUCCCGCCUGGGAAGUACGGCCGCAAGGUUGAAACUCAAAGGAAUUGACGG
rnacentral:rRNA from 1 species